CGAAGACUCUGAUUGCUAUCAGGUCCCUCAACACACAUCUAGUCUGGUAGUCAUUUAGCACAGAACCACAGUGUAAGUUAGCGAAUGAAGAUCCAGGAAGACCAUAAAUAGCUACAUUUGGAAAGUGCUAUACAUGAUCAUGAGAUCUACAUGGAAUUGAACAGACCAGCAUCAUCACGUGGUUGGCAUACAUACUCUCUCCCAUACAUGGAAAGUAGACAAACAGUAUCAGUAGAAAAGAGAGAAGUGAAAUCACCUACUUCCAGUGCACAGGAGCAGCUAAAGCAGGAAGAAGUACAAUAACAAUAACCACUGCUAGAGCUGAAGGAGCUGCUCUGAAUUCCUGAAUUGAAAAUUCGAUGCAAUUCAGCAGGACUGAAAAGACCUUGAGAGUUCUAUCUUUGUCGCUGUUCCCUUGGUUCCCCCCACAAUUUUCUGAACUAUUAAGAAAAAUAUCAUGGAAAUUUUCAAUGACCAAAGCGAGGUAAAAAAAUCUGCUAUCAAAUUGUGAGGAUACCAGUAGAGAAACAUCUGUUUGACGAGUUUUGUCUCUAGAUGCUGAUAUAUAUUUUUUUUAACUGAAAGUCAUGCUUAUCUAUAGUGACAGUGAUAUGUUGUUCACUGUUUAGAGAUUGCUCAUGAUAAAAUGAAAAGGGUUUUGUGAGUUUCUGCUGUCUCACCUUGAUCUUUAUUUGUGUCAGAAUU
ensembl:lncRNA